UAUCUUUUACUAUUCACCCCCUUGCUUGUGGGAACUGAUUAGGGAUGCAAACUGGGCGGAUAAAGAGGUCAACAGGUUCUCCGAAUUUUCAUCCUGUUUUCUUGACGGAUUGAUAUUUAUUCUAUUUUCUAUCAUCAUUUACCGCUCCACUCAGAAUUGGUCGCGGCAGUAGUGGAUUUUUGGCAGAUGUUUGGCCGACUGAGACGAAUUAAGAAACAAAAGAAUUCUCCUGCCUCCCGCUUCAUUUUAUGAUGGAUUCUGAUAUAUAUAUAUAUAUAUAUUUUACUCCUUGAAUUUUAAUUAAUGUAAUUUUCGGCUUGAGCUUUCUAAAUUAUUAUAAUUAUGUUUCACAACCUAAUUUAGUUGAUCAAAUAUUAAUGUAUUAGUAAUAUGAAAUUGAUGCAAUAGUGUCGUGACCGGUGACGCGACAAUUAGUAAUUACACUAUAAGAAAAUCUCAAUAUAAGGGCAAUAUAAGGGCGCCUUUUAGAUGACGCUCAGAAAGAGGGUCUCCAAGCGUCCCUAAAAGUAUCAUCAUAUAAACUCUCUACAGUAUCAAACCAAUUUACCAAAUAAUACAUUUUACAAUUAUUUUAAUUUUUUCGAUACCUUAAAGUGUCAGGAUUUUAAAAAAAAUUUGAAAAAUUCUGACGCUAUAAUGCAUCAGAACAUAUUUUACCAAAUAUUGGCGAAAGCGUCGGUAUAUACGUGGCGACUCAUUUUUUAUGAUGCUAAACUAUAUUGGGACGCUUUUUAGUUUCAUUAAAUAUAAAAAACAAAACAUCCUUAAUUAAAUACUAAUUAAUUUUUUAUAGUGUAAGAUACCACAUUACUUCUACUACAUCCUAUAAAACCCCCUAAAUUAACUU
rnacentral:lncRNA from 1 species